AGCAGCCGCGGUAAUUCCAGCUCCAAUAGCGUAUAUUAAAGUUGCUGCAGUUAAAAAGCUCGUAGUUGAAUUUCGGGACUAAUAUGUUGGUCGUGCCUCGGUACGUACUGAUAUUUUUGGUUUCUCCCUUCUGACGAACCUUGAUGUCAUUAAUUUGGUGUCUUGGGAAAUCAGGACUGUUACUUUGAAAAAAUUAGAGUGUUUAAAGCAGGCUCACGCUUGAAUACAUUAGCAUGGAAUAAUGAAAUAGGACGUUUGAUUCUAUUUUGUUGGUUUCUAGGAUCGACGUAAUGAUUAAUAGGGAUAGUUGGGGGUAUUAGUAUUCAAUUGUCAGAGGUGAAAUUCUUGGAUUUAUUGAAGACUAACUACUGCGAAAGCAUUUGCCAAGGAUGUUUUCAUUAAUCAAGAACGAAAGUUAGGGGAUCGAAGACGAUCAGAUACCGUCGUAGUCUUAACCAUAAACUAUGCCGACUAGGGAUCGGAUGAUGUUAAUUUUUAAUGACUCAUUCGGCGCCUUACG
rnacentral:rRNA from 1 species